UGGAAUGAGGGAGAGCAAAUUACCACCGGGCAGCGAUGGUUUCUCCAGUCUGAUUCCGCUGCUCCUGUUCCAGGAGCUAAUCUCCUGAUGUGAUAGUGCUACAGUAACCGUGCGCUAUUAACGCGUGUUCUUCACAUUGGGUGGCCGCGGUGACUUUCUUUUUACGGGUAACAGGGCCCCCUUUGCGCCUGGAUGUCUCUGUCAGGCUAUUUGCACAGCGGGGGUGGGGAGAUGAGACAUAGACAGGGGCCUUCCUUCAGUGGGGGAACGUGUUAGGGCGCUCACUCGCUGCAUGGCUUGGAUCCUGGGCACACUUUCAAAAAGGAUCAAGUUCGCGGCGUUAAAACCCGAGCUGUCCGCUUGGGGGCGCCCAGCGAAUUCUUAUCGCCAAGGCCUGGAGGAAAUGGUUCCCAAAUUAAUCAUUCCUAAAGGGAAAAGUGCAUUUUCCCCUUUUAUAGAAUUAAUGAAGUUGCAUCUUCAAACUAGUCCCCGCCCUUCCCGACCCUGUCUCCCCCAUGGUGCUUUCCGUGCGACUCUUCCGUGUGUAUUUGAGGGAAUGAUGGUGUCACCAAAUUCCUCAUCAAUCGCUAUUCGUUUAUGGGGGAAAGUCUCCUGCCAGUUCUUUUAUCUGCUUCCUACACAUCGCUCAUUCUUGUCUUCUCUGUCCCCCGUGCGCUUCUGAGAGUAGACGCGCGUUAAUGGCUGCGCGGAGCUGGGCACGUCCCUGGCCCGGGUGGCGGCGAUUGAUUUCUCAAACCUCUCCCAGUGUACGCGGUGUCUCUGUCCAGUGCACACAGAACCCGUCCCGUGCCAGCAUUACUCCAGCUGUCUGGAAUCCCAUUCAUGUCCUCUGGCUCUGACGUGAGAGGGAGCAGCAGCAGCUCUUCCGCAAUGGAGUGGGUGAGAUGAAAGGAUCUUUGCUACUAACUGAAGCUCUAUACAAAAGACUGAAUGACCCAUUCAAGCAGCAGAUAUACUUCAAAGACUUGACUUACACCAGCAAUUUAUUCUAUCACGGAUACAAGCUUGAACCAAGAACUUUGUAAUUAUACCAAAUGGAGAUGUCAGUGGAGUUCCACCACUGAUCAGAUGAUCUGAAUUUUUAUGUGAACAAAUGGACUAUACAUUGCUAAUGCGGGAGUGCUGGAACAAUUUUUACAAUGGGGAUGCUGAGAAUCACUGAAGUAAAUUGUAAAUCCUGUUUACAUUAAUCUGAAGUGGGUUUUACCCACAAAAGCUUAUGUCCUGAUAAAUCUGUUAGUCUGUAAGGUGACACAGGACUCCUUGUUGUUUUUGUAAACCCUGUAUAUAAUGGAAACCACUUCAAGCCAAGGGGCUCUGCAGCAUCUUCUGCACCUCUGAUUCCAGAAUCUAUGUGCUAAUGAAGGGAUUAUUGCAAGUAUUCAUUUGCCAAUCACCACUAUGUGAAUGGUCACCGAAAUAACAAGGUAUUGUAGUAUAGCCUCGGGGCAGCUCUAAUCUUCAUUGGCUGUGGCUGGCCACUGGCAUGUUUCCUGUGCUCAGGAGUUGGAAGUGGUGACACUAGAGCCACUCAUUCAAAUAGGGCACAUAACCUUCCAUCAAGAUUCUGUGAGGGGCUAGUGUAAAUAGAUAAAGAGGUAGGCAGUGGACUGAUAGGCUAUGUCUGCAUUGCAGGCUUUUUGUGCAAGAAAAGCCGUUCUUACGCAAAAACUUGCCAAGUGUCUACAUGCUCCGUACGCGCACUCACAGCUCCUUACUUCCUGGCUGCCAAACCUCCCCUGAAAGCCACAUGCAGCCUGCAGAUACCGCGUGGCAGCAGCACCUCAGCCAGUCGCUCCACCACACGGCUCUGCACUGCUACACCCAGGAGCCCAGAUGUCUGCUCCACAGACACCCCGUGAGCCUGCACCUUCCUCCCAGCACCC